rnacentral:rRNA from 1 species
GAUGAACGCUGGCGGCGUGCCUAAUACAUGCAAGUCGAGCGAACGGACGAGAAGCUUGCUUCUCUGAUGUUAGCGGCGGACGGGUGAGUAACACGUGGAUAACCUACCUAUAAGACUGGGAUAACUUCGGGAAACCGGAGCUAAUACCGGAUAAUAUUUUGAACCGCAUGGUUCAAAAGUGAAAGACGGUCAUGCUGUCACUUAUAGAUGGAUCCGCGCUGCAUUAGCUAGUUGGUAAGGUAACGGCUUACCAAGGCAACGAUGCAUAGCCGACCUGAGAGGGUGAUCGGCCACACUGGAACUGAGACACGGUCCAGACUCCUACGGGAGGCAGCAGUAGGGAAUCUUCCGCAAUGGGCGAAAGCCUGACGGAGCAACGCCGCGUGAGCGAUGAAGGUCUUCGGAUCGUAAAACUCUGUUAUUAGGGAAGAACAUAUGUGUAAGUAACUGUGCACAUCUUGACGGUACCUAAUCAGAAAGCCACGGCUAACUACGUG